UUUCCGUAGGUGAACCUGCGGAAGGAUCAUUAUUGAAUGAAACACUUUUGGCUUUAUGCUGUUGUGCUGGCCCUUUGGGCAAUGUGCACACGGCUCUGGUCACUUGUUUCUUCUGUUCCACCUGUGCACUGCCUGUAGACACGCUGUGUCUAUGAUAUUUGUUAACACACAACAAUGUUAGUUGGCAUGUUAUAUAUAAUAAUAAAAUAUACAACUUUCAACAACGGAUCUCUUGGCUCUC
rnacentral:misc_RNA from 1 species